rnacentral:rRNA from 1 species
GACAGAGGGUGCAAACGUUGCUCGGAAUUACUGGGCGUAAAGCGCGUGUAGGCUGCUUCAUAAGUCGGGUGUGAAAGCCUUGGGCUCAACCUAGGAAGUGCACUCGAAACUGCGAAGCUUGAGUCCUGGAGAGGAAGGCGGAAUUCUCGGUGUAGAGGUGAAAUUCGUAGAUAUCGAGAGGAACACCGGUGGCGAAGGCGGCCUUCUGGACCGUGACUGACGCUGAGACGCGAAAGCCAGGGGAGCAAACGGG